UAUUGGUCAAUGGCCGGAAGGCUGAACCAGCCAUGCCGCGUGAAGGUCAGUGCCCUAUGGGCGUUAAACUUCUUUUAUAUGGGAAUAAAGUUUUCCACGUGUGGAAUUUUGUAUGUACCAUAUGAAUAAGGAUCGGCUAACUCCGUGCCAGCAGCCGCGGUAAUACGGAGGAUCCGAGCGUUAUCCGGAUUUAUUGGGUUUAAAGGGAGCGUAGGUGGACAGUUAAGUCAGUUGUGAAAGUUUGCGGCUCAACCGUAAAAUUGCAGUUGAUACUGGCUGUCUUGAGUACAGUAGAGGUGGGCGGAAUUCGUGGUGUAGCGGUGAAAUGCUUAGAUAUCACGAAGAACUCCGAUUGCGAAGGCAGCUCACUGGACUGCAACUGACACUGAUGCUCGAAAGUGUGGGUAUCAAACA
rnacentral:rRNA from 1 species